UUACGUUGACCGUGCUUCCCGUGUCGACGAGUACCCUUCUGACUUCUAAGUCUCGUAUGAUGAGAUCUAUGACGAGCGGAUCACAGUGAGGUUGAUCGAUGCCGCCGGCUUCCUCCUUUGUGAAGGUGAUCGAGCAAUUUUGGCCAUCUCGGGGAGGAGACCAUGUAGGCCAAUUUACACUCGACUCUGCCUUCCUAUGGUAAGCCUUGAUGGCCGACACAGUAUCACCGCAGUAUUGUGAUCCUCCGAUGAUCAUGUUGACUCUGCGACGAUUGUUAUCAUUCCCCUUGUCGUCCGGCCUCCUACCGCGUUUAUCCCCAUGCUGGUUUCGUUGAGGGGAUUUUUCAGCGGACGGAUUUCUGUCCG
rnacentral:lncRNA from 1 species